GCCUAAAAAAAGUAGUUGCAUGAUUUAUAAAUCUAAAUAUUAACUUAAUAACAAGACAAUGUUUUGAAAUAAGGAUACCCAAAACAUAACAUAAAAUCACUCUCCCUAAUCCCUACCCAUGAUCAACAAUUAUUAGGGUGAGAGUGAGGGUUAGAUCAAGUGGUUAAACCUUCCCUUUUGAUCCCAUGUGAUCUUGAAAUUGAUUUUCAAAAAAAAAAAAAAAAAAAAAACAAUUAUUGGGUCAUUCAUUAGCUACUCCGUAUACUCUUAACAAAAACGAUCAAUCCGAGAAAAAAAAAAAAAAAAAAAAAAAAAAAAAAAACGAUCAAAUUUCGUCAACAUUACUCUACCCCUCACGAAAAAUAAAAGUCGUCGAGGAUACCUUUCAUUUCUUCAAAUUUUAAUUUUUUAUAGUCACUGGAUGAUGUUUGAACAGACUGUACUGAUGAUUUCCAGUAAAACACUCCAUUCUUCCCUUCAAAGCUAAUUCAACUGUUCUUGAUCACGACAUUCAAUCUUCACACCCACCAAAAUUCACACAAGAACCCUAAAACCCCAAAUUCGUGUGCAUGAGAUACCGAGAAAGAGGAGCUUCUGAAGCAUCAUUAAUGGCGAAUGUAGGUGGUGCUGGUAUGAGCUCCAUGAUCGUCAAUGGCGGCGAGUUAUGGAAAGCUCAUGGUGCCUUGGUUUUGGUUCAGCUCUGUAAUGGCGGAUACCAUGUUAUUACUAAACUUGUUCUUAAUGAAGGUGUUAAUCAGAUCGUUUUCUGCGUUUUUCGCGACCUUAUUGCUCUCUCAAUCCUUGCUCCUCUUGCUUAUGUUCGUGAAAAGCGAGUUCGACCACCAAUCACUAAAAAUCUUCUUGUUGGAUUUUUCUUCCUUGGGCUUACCGGGAUCUUUGGAAACCAACUUCUGUUUCUUAUUGGUCUGAAGUAUACAAAUCCAACAUAUGCUGCAGCUAUACAACCUUCAAUUCCAGUAUUUACUUUCCUCUUGGCCACAAUAAUGGGCACAGAAACUGUGAAUUUAUAUAGAGCUGAAGGGAAAAUGAAGGUUGCAGGCACAUUUUUGUGUGUUUCUGGUGCUGUUUUGAUGGUUGUAUAUAAAGGGCCGUCUAUUCUUGGACAAAAAGAAGAGAUGGAACUGCAUGGUGAAAUCAGUGCCAAAGGACAGCCAGAACCAGUUGGAUGGCUUGUUGCUAGGACCAUGGAAUUUGGGUUUGACACAUUUCACCUUGGUGUACUAUGUCUUAUUGGGAACUGUGUGUGCAUGGCAACUUAUCUUGCAAUUCAGGCUCCAGUUCUGAAGAAAUAUCCAGCAAGCCUCUCGGUGACAGCGUAUUCAUAUUUUUUUGGUGCUCUUCUUAUCGUUACUUCUUCGUUUUUUAUGGCCAAUGACCCGACAAGCUGGAGUAUGAACCAUGAUGAACUGUUUGCCGUUUUCUAUGCUGGAAUCAUUGCAUCUGCCCUCAACUAUGGACUUAUCACAUGGUCCAAUAAAAUAUUGGGGCCUGCAUUGGUCGCUCUUUACAAUCCACUUCAACCUGCAGCAUCUACCUUUUUGUCACUUAUCUUUCUAGGAAGCACCCUAUACCUAGGAAGUGUGCUGGGAGGCUCUUUAAUUAUUGCUGGCUUAUACUUGGUCACCUGGGCAUCCUACAAAGAAAAGCAAGCUGCUGCAGGUAUACCUUCUGAACCUCUAAUUCAAAAAGAUUCUUCACUCAGCAAGAUGCACCAGCAAGGACUCAUUUUUGCUAGAUCAUCAUCUUCAUUAUACAAGGUUUUGGAUUAGGUAAUAUGCACAACAUGGAGCUUAUCCUUAACUGUCUUAUUUCCAAUUUCUGUGGCCAUUGCAAUUAAGGUGAAGAGCUAUACAAAUGUACAGCAAACAUAAUGGUUCCAAAAGGAACUAUCACCAGGAACAGUGGUUGAUAUUGUGUAUAUCAAGAUCCAGGGCUCACGACUUCUGCAGAUAGCGUUAUGGAAAAUGUGUAUUUCAAAGAGACAGCACGAUGGUGGUUGUAUAUACUGCUAGCUAUAUUGGCCAAAUCUAUCUCAGGAUUUGGCUUUUUCCACGUGGAAUUUAGAGCAAGCUUCCCAUUGAAACCGAGAUUUUCAAUUUGCAUAAUUAAGUUCAAGAUCAUUUGUUGUAGCCAAGUUAUAUGAUUCUCUUUGUAAGGACAAAAACAAAGGUCUUUUCUGAGAGGUUUUAUCUAUGCUAUGCAUACCUGUUCUAUAUCCAUCA